GAAGAUGAGUAUCUUGUAAAGAGGGAUAGGAGAAUUGGAGGGCAAGUUUGGUGCCAGCAGCCGCGGUAAUACCGACUCCAAGAGUGUGUAUGAGAGAUGCUGCAGUUAAAAAGUCCGUAGUCAUAGAAGGGCAAAGAGAGAUGCGAGGUCUCACAGUGCGAUGAUGGAGGAGCCGAUGGGGAACAUAGUAUACCAGGGCGAGAGAUGAAAUGCCAAGACCCCUGGUGGACUGAGCGAGGCGAAGGCGAUGUUCUUGUAGGCAUUCGGUGAUCAAGGACGAAGGCUGGAGUAUCGAAAGUGAUUAGAUACCGCAGUAGUUCCAGCAGUAAAAGAUGCCGACAUGCUCAUUGGACACAGUGGGCAGGGAGAAAUCUUAGAGUUCGGGCUCUGGGGAUAGUAUGCUCGCAAGGGUGAAAAUUAAAGAAAUUGACGGAGCUACACCACAAGGAGUGGAUUGUGCGGCUUAAUUUGACUCAACGCGAGGAAACUUACCAGGGCCAAGUAUUGUGUAGAAACGAGCAAUACAGGAGUGGUGCAUGGUCGUUGGAAAUUGAUGGGAUGACUUUGACCUUAAAUGGUUGAAUGAGUGAGAUCUUUUGGACAUGUUCCGCACGGAACAGGAAGGAAAAGGCUAUAACAGAUCCGAGAUGCCCUCAGAUGCCCUGGGCUGCACGCGCAAUACAAUAGCAGGUAGAGAGAGAGACAGGAAGGUGCUCAGAUGGACUAUGUGCUGUAAGGCACAUACGAAAGAGGAAUUCCUAGUAAGUGUGUAUCAACAAUGGAUAUUGAA
rnacentral:rRNA from 1 species